CCAUCCAUCCUUUCAUUCAUUCGCGCAACCACCCUCCCCCUUCAUUCCUUCACUCCUUCAUCCCUUCCUCGCCAAACAGAUGUUCGGGAAUACCUUCUACGACGGCUGCCUUUUUUGGUAAAACGGACGAAUUGUAUGUCUCAAGAACAAGGGAAAUAGCGCCUACCUCCUGCUACUGGGUUAUGAAUGAGAUUCUGAGGAUGAGGUGCUCCGGACACACCAGUGCCCUUCCUGCCCCCUUUGCUGGUCCCUGGACUCCCUGACCCAGCUGGACUGGACUCAACCUAAAGUCCUCUUCAUCGGCUUCCCUCUUUCCCUUCCAUCCACUGAGUGCCCGCCGUGUGCUGGUCUUCUUAGGACCUCAGGGGAGGCAGACCAAUAAAAAGUGGAGUUUGGAGUUCCCUCUGUGCUCAGUGGGUUAAGGACCUGACUAGUGUCUGUGAAGAUACGGGUUCAAUCCCUGGCCUCGCUCAGUGGGUUAAGCAUCUUGCAUUGCUGCAGACUGCAGCCUAGGCCGAAGAUGUGGCUCCGUUCCUGUGUUGUGUGGCUGUGACGUAGGCGGGCAGCUGUCCGAUUUGACCCCUAGUCUGGGAACCUCCAUAUAUGGCUGGUGCAGCCCUGAAAAAAA